UUAAUUCCCUCCACCAUCACCUACCUGUGCAGUCCCCUACUUGCACGCAAGCACUCCAUAUCCAGAUCUGAAAAACUAUUCUCCUCUCGCCAGCUGCUAGUGAUUGACGCACAAACAAAUUCCUCACAGUAGAAGUGGAUUUCAGAUUUGGUAGUAGUCCUUUGAGGCCGCUGAUUAUCAAUAAUCUUGAACUGCUGUCCUUCUUCGGCGGAAGGAGAUGAGCAGUUCAGUAGAUCGGCUGGUGCAGCGACCACCCUGCGUCGAAUCCAUCGAAUCAAGAUAUAAGAGCCGAUGAGUGCGCAGUCGGGAUAGCUCAGAUGACCGUCAAAAAGGGGCGCCAGCUUUCGACAGUUGCUGAAGCGGACGAGCUCGAUUCUUCUAAUGGCUGGGUUCGACAGUUCUAGAUGCAGAGCAUGGGUCGAAAUCAAGGACUCCAAAUCUUAUUGCUGUGGAAAGGAAAACAGCGGCUGGGUUCGACGACAUAGGCACGGUUGGGGAGGGCGUGUUGGAGGCUCGGCUGGAGAUGCUCUUAGCCAGUUGGCUUGUAUUUGGGGAUCAGUGCAAGUUUAACCGGAAUGAUUUUCAAUGUCUCAAUACAGCAGACGCACCAGUUUAGUACACGUUGGAACAAGGAUUUGGAGAGACCGACCCCAUGUGUCAAUUAUGUUCAACGAAAUGUGGAGCGUGGUUUUAAGGGGCUGUUUGGUUUGCGCCGCCGCCCGCCCUGCCAAUUGAUGGCACGCCAAAAAAUUGGCGUAGGAUUUGCCAACCCACGCCUUGCCAAAAAGUUGGCUGGGAAUUGAACUGGGACCGCUGUGGAGACGUGGGCUUGCCAAAAAGUUAGCCUUCAUCCAAACGAGCAACCAAUGCCGAGUCAACUACCAAUUUUUUGGCACGGCGUCUCAAGGCCACGAUCCAAACAGCCCCUAAAUGGAGAUUCUUGGUAUGGCGUGUGCGGACGUAAGUCAGUAGGAGAGAAACAAGGUGACGAGGUUAACAGCUUCCCAUGCAACGAAAGCGUGAAAUGAUGUCAUUGAAUCUCACAAUUAGCCUGUUGCAAUUCAAGAUCAGAGAAGUGAUACUAUGUAUCUUCGUAAUGAAUGAAUAAAAAGAAUUCUGCUCA